CGGAAAGACCCCAUGGAGCUUUACUGUAGCUUGACAUUGGGUCUUGGUACUACAUGUACAGGAUAGGUGGGAGGCUUUGAAACCAGGACGCCAGUUUUGGCGGAGCCAUCCUUGGGAUACCACCCUUGUAGUACUGGGACUCUAACCAUAGGCCAUGAAUCUGGUCUUGGGACACUGUCAGGUGGGCAGUUUGACUGGGGCGGUCGCCUCCCAAAAGGUAACGGAGGCGCUCAAAGGUUCUCUCAGUACGGUCGGAAAUCGUACGUAGAGUGUAAAGGCAAAAGAGAGCUUGAUUGCAAGACAUACAGG
rnacentral:rRNA from 1 species